GCAUCUUUUCUAAUGCUUGAUUUACAAGCUGCUCUGACAGCCGAGUAAAAAGCUUAAUCUGCUCGUUUAACCAGGGUAUUUAAAUAGUCUGAUAUACAUACGUAUAUAUAAUACACUGUCCAAGUAAAAAUCCUUGUAUUUGUGUAGUGCUGUGCAUUCUGACGGAUCCCGAUGCGUUUUACAUACAGGAAGGAGCCCACAGCGCAACGUGCCACGGGAGGGCAGCACCGUCCUGUGAUUCAAGGGAGCCAUUACCCACUAACAGCCCCCCUGCACAAGAUCAGGAAGGUUCCCACUGCUUGAAGGAAGCAGGUGACUUUCACUGGCAAGGCUGUGAGGUCGCAGAUACUCAACUCAUCCUUGGCUGGUGGAUCCCCCCAGCAUUGCUGUAGUUUGUUCAUUUUUAUCCACAGUCAGCUUAUGACAUGGCCAGUGCACUGCUUUCAACAACGCACCUGGAGCUUGUUCCAUUCUGCUGCAACCCUCUGUGUAAAGAAGUGCCUCCUGUUCUCUGUUUAAAUGCACUUCUACAGAGUUUCCAAUUGUGUUCUCUAGUUUGUUGGUUCUGAAGAAGUCAGCUGGGUUGACUUUGAGGAUUUUGACAGCCAACUCCUUGAUUACAUUCAUUACAUUACAGUCUUCUCUAUCCAAGACAAAAAGGGCUUCAGUUCCUUCAGCCUAUCAGUGAAGGACAUUCCUUUAAACCCCAAACUGAGUCUGCUUGCUCAUUUCUGGACUGAUUUGACAGGAUGACACUAUUGACAGGAUGAAGCUGCGUUAAACUGGAUUCUUUCAAGAAACAGCUAGAUGAGCUGAAGACCACCCAGGGUUAGUCAACCAUAUAAGUCCCCAAAGCCUGAGUAUAUGAGAAACUACUUCCCAGUAUAAGUGAUUACUGUUAACACAACUGGUCAUCAUGGAAGACCCCCAAAUCUGACUCCAGUCAAUUCAGACAUCCUUACAAAUAACAUGAAAUGACUCUUGUCACCAGGCAGCAUGACUGCAGUUUGAAAAUUAACAUGGACAGCGGGUUUCCAACAGCACCGGUGCAGCACCGUUCACAACAGUGUCAGUCCUACGUUGCACCUUUGACGACAGCAACAACAAAUCAUUCUUUUCAAUAUGUUCAUACUCGUCCUCAUGCAGCGUGUUGCUUAACACUUUCUGAGUCAGUCAAAGUACCAGUGAGGUAAAAUGGGCAGCUACUGUAUGCAUAUCAUUGUCAAGUCCCACUUAAUAAUGUUUCUCCUCUGACAGCUACGGUACAGAAUGGGUGGAAGAACAUGAUGGGGACCCUCACAGUGCCUGCCUGUUACAUUGCACUGUGGGACAAUGCAUAAAAAGAGUUUGAUUUAACAACAGAAAUAAAACCCUAUUACCUGUUACCAGUAGAUCUAUGUCCCACAGGAUUUAUGGCAACAUCAGUCUCCAGCAGGGGAAGGAAACUAACAGCAGGCUUUCCACUCCUAACAGUGUGGCAAUACAACUGCUCAAAUGAUGAAACAGCUGGAAAGAGUCAUACGAACAGCAUCCAAGAUCAUCGGAUUCGAACGUCCCUCUGUUGCCUCUGUUUGUGACAGCAGCAUCAAACGGAAAGCUAAGAAGGUGUCCACAGACCCUUCCAUCCUGCCAGCUCCUUUUAUAAACAUCUCCGUUUGACGAGAAGGUUUCAAAACAUCAAAUGUAGCACUGCUCGGUUCUGUAAUAGCAGCUGUCUAGAGGCCAUUAGGCACAUAGAUCUUGAUUGUUGAAAGAAUUUCAUGGGAGUGAAUAAAAUCCUUUUGUGAAUAAAAUUGACUGAAUGUUUAAAAGUGUACUGUGUAUGUGGAGUGUUAAAAUGUUGUUUCUGUUAGUUUUCUAUCUGGG